UCCGGCGGGGGUGGUGGAGGCAGAAACUGACUGAAGGAUGGAGAGAACCCUUGCGGAGUAACGAGGAUAGCCGGAGAUUUCAAGCGAGAGCAAAAGAACGGCAGAAAACACGCGAGAGAUAGAGGAUAUAUGACAAAGAGGAGGAAGGAAGAGCGAGCACGAUGUAUAACGUGGACGAGACGGAGAGGAUCAGAGAAAAAGGAGAUGAAAGGUGGAGCAGAAAGAGAAAGAACAGUCUGGCUAUGUGUGCGUUACGAGAAUCGAAGUGGAAGAAAGAGCAGGAGAUAUAUGGGUAGUGAUGGACUUAAGAGAUCUUGAACCAGACAUCAAUUGAAUGGAACUAUCUCGUAACCUCAAAGAAUUAUUGCAUUGAAAUGGAACACCUUUAUUAUUGAACUGCCCAAUCCUCUCUGUAUCUCUGCAACGAUCCCCUAAUAAAAUAUAGAAGAUAAUUUGAUGCAUACUUUGGUAAUCUAUAUUAAAUUUUCAUCAAAUUAGAUGACAGUAGUCAGAUAUAAUUUAUCAUUCAAGGUUGUUACGAGGGAAGAUUGCUCGAAAACGCAGCAGGGAGAACGAAAUUAUACCUAACGCUCUUGGAUCCAGAAAUGUAGAGACGUAGUGUGAGGUUGGAUAGAUGAGAUUGAUUCGAACCAAUGUCCAAGUUUGAUUUUUUGUUCUGUCUAAAUUUGCGAGUUUAUAAAAUUUGAGUUUACAAUUUUGUAAAGUCAGACGUAUAGAAAUGUAGAAAUUUGGAAAUUUUCAGUUUGGAAUUGAGUGACUCCCGCAAUGGCCUCCUCCCCUGAAGGAUAUGCUCUAUCCCUAUUCCUAGAUUCAUGCCAUCGCUGGAUAGAAAGCAGCGGACUGUGUUGGAGGAAGCGAGAAGAAUGGAACAGGGACAGAUAGAUAACGAUGAAGCGGGAACGAAGUAAGGGGAACGGUGGGGCUGGUAGGGAGGAUAGGAGAAAGAGCGAAAGAGGGAGGGAACGGAGGGCACAGAGGGAGUCGAGUGCAGCGGCCUGGCCGCCUAUACUCUGCGUGACUAUAGGCAGUCCGGCUAGGCUAGAGUCCGCGUAUAAUGUAUUCUCGAAUAUCGUGCACUCUCUCAUGAUCAAUAUAAGCUCCGACGCGGGCCGGAGAUGCACGAAGACCCACCUCCUCCUUCCUCGGCCCGCCCGGACGAUGUUUUUUCGUGCGGAGUGCAACGCACGCUGGAUCGCGGGAACUGCACUCGCUCUUCUCCCCUCUCUUUCACUCCUUCCUCAUUAUCUCCGUUUCUCUCUGACCCGUCGAUUCGUCGGCUCUCGCUCUUUCACCCUCGAUUAUCCGUGACAGUGUCGAAGCGAAAUCGAGGAGGGGACACGACGAUGCAGCGGGAAAGAAUGAAUGUUAUAAUCUUGGGAAUUAUUUAAAUUCUCUCGUUAGCAACUGUUCACGAACGUGUAUGAGAGAAUCGGUGUUCCUCCGGUUAAUGAAUGACGAGAUAAUGCUACCCGUUGCCAGGCAGCUGUUGCAUAGGUACUUUUUACGAUUAACGUCACGGUGAACAGCGGUGCUCGGUUUGUAUACCCGGUAGACUCGAAACUUUUCUACCUGUUGGUUAUUCAUUUAAUACGUCGACGCGUUAUGUGUUCAUUUAUUAGCGAACACGUUUGUAACAGGUACGGAACAAUGGCUUUAACGUAGCAGCGAAGCGUGAUAGACGAGCCGGGGUCGUCCCAAAUGUUCCCGGCAGAGGCCGAGCGAUAUUCACUCAUACGAAUUAAAGUUUGAGCUUACACUUGCCGGACACCUUUGCCAACACUUGGUUCCUCUGCUUAUUGACUCCUGCUGCUCUCCGCAACCCCUUCAUCAACCUUUCGAGAGUAAUGAAGCUUGUGACGACAAAUAUUUAACAUACAUGGGCCUAACCUCUUGGACCCGCUUUAUGAUCCUUCAUCUAUGACGUUCACGUGCAAUUAAGUUUCCUCCCGCAGUUCAUCUUUGACCAAACGAAGGACCUCGUCGAAGAGCCCCUAUUCUGGCAACGAGGUCAAUGUUUUCGAGUAAAUUGUUCACGCUUUAUCAAGGUCUACCAUUGAUCCGUUCGUUGCUUUCGAUCUCAGCCAAUUCCCUUUCCUUUUCAAGAUCAAGAUGCAAAAUGAAGGAGCGGAUCAGUGAAGGGCAAAAGGGCAAGGAGGAAAGGAGAUAACCACUGCACGAAAGGUAGAACUGGCCAGAGAAAGAAAAUUGGUAGAGGCAGGCCCGUGCACGUUCCAGAAAACUGGCCGCCAUGUCGGUCUCCAUCGCCCCCACUACGAAACACGUAUAGCCACGAGAUAUCGUCCGUUGCACUUUUCAAGCUCUCGUGCGAACGCACCGUAUUAUACGUGUGUGCAAGUACGAAGCGUCGAGGAGCUCACACGCAUCCACCAAGCAUACGCGUAGUCGCCGCUCUCCACCCGUGAGAGGAGAGACUGGUCCGUCCGACGUACUGGGAAAUAAAAUUCUCUGGUGACAUUCUGUUGUCACAUCUACACUCAACUUCGUGCUAAACGUUAUGAAUUCCUUCAGGUUGACGUUUCAAUCUUUUAACAUAUUACACACCUCUCAACUAACUCAUUAACUGCCAACUUUUCUAUCUCGUUAACUCAUUUAACAUGCUUUCAGGUUGAUCAGGCAAUUAGCUAACUAUUCGAUACGAAGAUGCUGACGUUGAUAACACUGAAAUGUUACUGCUAACUCGCUGUAUUGAUAAUGUUAUUAAGAUAUCGUUCUAUAAGAUGACUAAAGUAGUAAAGAAUGAUAACAUAUGUCAAAUUAGACUACACGAGUUUAAACAAGGAUACUUUAUCCUUAAGGAUUAUCUUAACAUUAUCAAUGUACCGUUAAGUAUCGAUAACAUGUCGGUAAUUUGUGGAUAGUAAUCGAUAUCGACACCUCUACGUGGUUUCCGUUCCUCUGUCACAAGAUUUCCUUCCACAAACAUGAUCCUGUGGUACAGAAAGAAUUUCGAAUUAUUUGUAGAAGCGAUUCCCCUGAUCUGGCAAACAUGUAACAGAAAAAGAGAGAGACGUCAGUGAAAAUUAGGUAGGGUUAGAACGACGUUGCGGGCGGGAUUUUCGGUGCAUGCUGGCUGAUUUUCUAAGGCGACCUUAGGUGGGAUAACGGACUCUCUCCCACUCGUUGCAACGAGCUGGCAACGCCAUUGGCAAGUGGCAACGCUGGCUGACAGGCCGGUGGGAGGGGUAUAACAGUGAGACUAUAGCAAUGUGGAGUGGGGUCGAUGGUCCCCCACUAGUUACGCCACUGGCAGUGAAUUUCGCACGGGCAAACCAGAACUGCGAAACAGAGACGGAACGCGACAGACCACCAAGCAAAGGGGGUGAGAGAGCGAAGACAGACCGAUAGAGAAAGAGAGAAGGCAGCCAUGUGCGCCUGAGACAGCCUCGACUUUGCAACUAGGAACAUUCGGCUCGUUCUCGUUCCCGUUCUCCUUCGCGCCGAAUUCGUGCUAGCGAGUAAGUACGUUUACCCUGUCGAGCCUCCUUCUACCCUCGUUCAGGCAACCUCUCUACCCAGCAACCUCCCCUCUCUUCCCUUCUUGCUCUGUCUUUCUGUCUCUGUCCCUCCUCUUGCCACCCCCGCGGAAAAGCAAAUUCUCUCCGUGUCACUGAACCCGGCCGUCUGACCCCGUCGUUCGGUUUUUCCGCACGAAGUGCCUCGACCUCGUCCGGAAGUAGGAUGAGCGGACUCUUCUCCCUUGCUCGGUUAUCCGUAUCAGGAACUCGAUUCUAGACAGUUGUCUCGAAUCGAGCCAUUUUUUCCUCCCAUUGCCAUCUAGAAACAAAGUUUCUAGCCAAACCUACUGCCAGUAUCUUACAAUUUUUUCUUUGCAGGAAAACUUGUCACACCGUCCAAAAAGCUCACCUUUAGAAAACAUUGGUCUAAGAGCUAGAAAAUUCUUCUUCUACAUUGUUCGAGUUUCCUGAAAACAUAGGGAGGUAGAUGAUGCGAACCCUGUCGCGUCUGGAACUCGAAUGCAGCUCGCGGUUGAUCGUUUUCGAGACCGAAGGUGCAAGCUUCGUUCCGUCGUUCCGCUCGUUCCUCCGUUCCUUCUGUCCACGUUCCGUCGUCCAUCGGUUCGUUCGCUCGUUCAACCGGCGUCUCACGGCACGCAGUCUGUCGCUGUCACCGACGAAGCUCGCUUGUCGCGCAGCCGUAUGUUCGAAAAACGAGUCAAGUUUUUAUCAGUUACGUUAUUUUUAUUGCAUCUCUCAUUUUUUAGUUUGUAGUGUUUCAAAGUUGUUCGCUAACAUCGAAUACCCAUUCAGGUAAUUCUUCAAAAACGGAUAAGUGUAUAUUCUUCGUUAAUAUCCUUUCAUCAUCGUCCUUCCCGAUUACGUUCCGACGUUUUUUAAUUGUAAAAAUCAUUUUGUUUAUCGAACCGUUUAUUUGUCGAAGCAGUAGAGUUCCUUGCCCUCUCGAGAGCACCAGACAUCCCCUAACCACCUCCAGCUCGAUCAUGGGGUACCAACCUUCGCUCUUGUCAAUUUCCAAAAGAGAUUUUCGUUACCAGAUCAUUUGAUUUCCCCGAAAAUCAUUUCAGAAAAGCCGGUGACCGUGAGACGGCGAGCUUCGCAACCGAAUCGAGAAUUUUCUGGACUCGAGCUUUUCCCGAUACCACUCGCGCGAGUAGAGGCUCUGACUUGCCGCGAUGUGCACGCGUCCGCCGCGAAGAAAGAUGACAUAGGAUCUUCCGACGAAUGGUGACGCGGGUGUCCGGCAAGUGGCAGUGUUUUUCUCUCCAGAAAAUCUGAAAUCGCCGAUUUCCUCUUGAUAGUGUGAGUCGUGCCUCGUAAUACAUGGUGUCGGGUGUGUACGUGUGCAGUACAGUGUCCACACAGUGAAUGGCCGUCGUGUGGAGGCCCCUGUGCUUUUGUGGCAGCCCCGUGGAUAGCUCUAGAAUACCUGGCUACACUUGAUGGGAUAGUCUCCUGUGGACAAAGAUGCGAAUUUCUAUGUCGAUGAAUAUUUGAACGUGAACAAGGAGCUUUGAGAAAGCGUUGGCAGCUCGUAAUUCAAUUUCUCUUUCGAACGAUAAGGAGAGAACGGCUGGAAAUACUCGGAGAGGUAGUCGUGAUAUUCCAUUGUGUCGUGUUUUCCCCAUCAAGGGGCAUUGACAUUGCUUUGUUUCCAGAAACAACAUGUUCUAUUCUUCGUACACUGGGUUACAAGUCGUAAAUGAGAUAACAAUAGAGACAUUGUAUCGAUGGAUUUGUUGCAGCAGGAAUGUUUACAAUUGCCUUUCGAUUAUGACUUUUGAUUUUCAUUUACUUGCAAACUUUCGAACUGGAUAAAUUGUCCGAUGCCCUAUACGUAUGUAUCAUCUAUAAGUUUCACGGACGCCAUAUUGAAAUGGCGCGCAGCAACCUAGUUACGUUAAAUGCAAGCCCUCUAGAACUAGUAAGUUUCAACGGAAUACAUAUAAACUUUGAGUAGUUAAACUAAAAAAGUGCGUAUACAAAGAAAUUGUCGUCUAAUGUGCACCUUUCUUUUAUGAAAAGUAUAGGUUAAUUCUUGGAACUACACACUGCCGCCACUGUACCACGAAUAGAGAAACCUGAGUCAAACUAAUUCUCGAGGCAUUAGUUUCGUAAAAUUCAAGGAAUGAAUUGAUACGGUGCCAAAUAGCCUUCAUUAUUUACGCGAGGUCAAUGACACUGAACCACACACUGGCUUAGGUUGAAAUUUCACUUUGGAAUUAUUGGAAUAUAAACGUAGAGCAAAUUAAGCCUGCAUAAAUUGUGACACAACAUGCGAAAGCAAGAUUUACGAUUCCAAUCUGUUUGCGAGUCGUUUGAUUCCUAGGAUCGCUGAAAAUCUAAAAUAACGAGAUCGAUUGAAUCAACGGCUCUCGACGGAACACGAAUAAAAAAUAACAUAAGGCACAGCUAAAGUAUUGAUAAAUACUUGGUAAUUCGAGAUUUAUCGCUGCACUCCUGGAACUCGAGCACAUUCUCGCUUCGAUAACUUAUCAUCAUGGCGAUUGCUGCUCCCCGAAAGAACUAUCGCAACAAUGAAAACUGGAGGUCGGCAGAAAACGUUGCAGUGUUGCACAACAGCUAGUUUUUUCUAUUUUUUUCAUACCGCUUUUAACCUUUGACGGUCUUCAGUCGGAUGUGUGUAUACGUUCUUUUGAAAUAUGAUCGUAUUUGUUAUCUUCAGUUUAGAACCGGGUAUUAUAUUACAUAUUAGAGCAUCUACAUCUUCGCUCGAUACUUCUUUUAAAUGUAAUCGAUACUCGCUAUUGAGUCAAGAGUAUAAAUGUUCGUGUCGAGUCAAAACCCAUACAAUUUAAUUGAAUGUAAUUCGAUUCGAUUUGACUCGAUAUGAUUCAAUUCCUUGUAAUACAAUUUGGCGGGAAUUUCACUCGAUUCAAUUCUGUCAGAGUUAAUUUACCACGAUUCUAUUCCACCAAAUUCAAUCUGACGCUUUUUAAUUUCGCUCGAUUCAAGUCCACAUUCGAUACAAUUCACCUCAAUCCGGUGUGGUUUGACUGGGUACGUGUUUCAAUUUCACUCGAUUCGGUGCUGUGCAAUUUAAUUCUCCGUACUCUAAACUCCACAAACACUUGCUCACAUUUACCUAUUUGGAAUUGCUUCCCUGAUGUCCAUUUACACUAAACGGCAGGGACUCGCGCUUGUCCUUCUUGCUCAUUUAAUCUAAAUACGCUCUUAUAGAUGUCGGGAGAAGCAUUUAGAAGAAAUGUAGCGACAGAGGAAAGUCUGAGAGAUCGAGAGCAUCGGAACUCGAAUAAAGAAGGUUCCAUGAAGGGACAGGAAACUGAAAACGACAUCCGCGACCAAGAUCAAUACCUCACCAGUGCAAUGCACUCUUGCGUUCCUAGUUACACCUCUAUUGCCCGCGAAAGAGCGUGUGUUGCAAGAGGCAUAACGUUAGAACACCUACAUCUGAAUAACGGAUAAAAUAAAUGAUCCAUCUUCACACGAGACUCUGUAAUUAUUAAUUGAAAGAGCACAAAAAUCGUGCAGGUAGUUAUUCAAGCACUACCGGAAGUAUAGUUAGGUAACGUUUCUUUAAUUCAGUACCUGUUUGACGCAUGGCUAAGGUUGUUUAUUGUUUUCUGACACAGUAGAACGACGGCCAGCUGGCAAGCUAAACAAUUGUUUCUCGGAAUCGUGGAGUCAAAGCGCGGGUGGCGAAGACCCGCGGAAAAGCAAGAAGACAGGAACACGGAAACGGAAACUAGUUCCGGCCAAGAUCAAUACCUAAGUUGUGCAACAGUCUGGCGCAAGCCUUGUGCCUUGGUUGCGUGUGCUCUGUGCGCCGCAUGCUGCGUGCAACGCCUCGUUGCAACCGGUGCAACGUGCAAUGCCACGAUUUGCUGGCAUCACGAGCACACGCUCGGCUAGCCUCAUCUAGCCAGCUGUUGGCUAGGUCAGUGUAAUCGGUAUUAACACCUUGAUUGCCAUGCCGAACACACGACAAACUCAUUAAGUACUUCUAUCGACAACCAGUCUUCAGUCAUUUGUAAAUCCGAAUUUAACGGAGGGUUCUUGAAACCUAAAUCAGAGGUUCAAUUAAUUGUCUAUGCGUUUGUGAUAUAUUGAGUCAUGUAAUCUAUGAGAUCUUGUAGAUUACAUAAGUUAGACUUUGAUAAAUGCAUAAACACUUGCUACCUAUUAAUUAAGUAAACGUAGGAAUAAUUAAUAUGGAUAAUGGAAAUUUAAACAUCACCUAAGUAUAGUUAACGCGUGUACCUGUUAGUGAUGGAACAAAAACAAUACUGAACUUCUACAAUGCAACCUCACUGUCUCAAGUACUCCUUAAGUACUGUAUAGUUCAAACAUGAAUGAUAUCACAUUUACCGAAUGUAAAAAUAGAUACUGAAAGGUUUGAUCAUUAUGAAUGUUUCCUCAGAGCAAAUAGAAGUCUUAUUAUACUAUAGGCAUUCGUUAUAUUGUCAAUUUCCCUAUUUCAGAGUACUGAGAGUUAUAACUGGAACAAUAUCGAAGAAAAAAGUUGCUGGUUCAUCUAGUUUAUUGUCAAGAAUACCUCACUGUAAUUUUUCUCAAAACUUUUACCUGAACGAGGAGACAAGUUUGUGCCUAUUACGAAACUAGUACUUAUGAGAUUAUACUUGCAUACAUCAUUUUCAUUUUAGUUAAUAAGGAUUCUCUUGAGAGUAGUAAUCAGCGGCAAUUAAAAAUGGAGUCACUCCACAUGUGUCAUUAGACUCCAUGAUGCAGAAGCGGUAGAUUAUGAGUUAUGCAAUAGAUGACGUUGCACGAUUUAUAUUUCUGAACUUCGUACAAUUCCUAUUGGCCCAAAUAUCCGAUUGAAAAGUGACGAUCUGAGGUACGUUAUGACCUUGAGAGUUCCAUUAAUUCCGCAGAAUAUUUACAGUACAUUCUCACAUGUGCAGGUCGUAAUUGGACGGAAACUGCUUACACUUUCCGAUGCACAUCGCUCUUGAAAACCAUACUCCUCUUGCGUACACCGAACAAGAUUGUCGAGGUCAGCUUUUAUGACGUAGAUAUGGCUGUGUGACAUUGGCAGUGAGCUUUAAUCUCGUGGUAUCGAGUUACACCUGCUGACCAGUAGCGAGUCUAGGCCAGAUGCGAUUAACGUGACUUACCAGAUUCACAAAUACGAACACGCUAAUUGACGCUGAUUCGUUACAGCCUUUCAAGGCCGUCGCUGAUAAUUAGUUCUGCUCGGAUACCGGUCACUUCCAUCACGCAAUUAUGAAUUAAUUGGAUCAAUGCCUCUUUUUUUCCUUCUUCAAGUACACGCAAGUUCAUCGGACUCGUAUCAGCUGCAUGGUUUAAUGGAGUUACAAAAAACGACAUCCGGCAAUGUUGCAAUAACGGUUAACUGAAAAGCUUGAAUAGCAGCGUUGCAAAUAUAGAUCCUACAGCUAGAUAUGCGGAGGAUAUAAAUAAACGAACGACGGAGAUAACAGUUUAUACGGAGUGGCCUCAAACGAUCAAACUUUACGCGAAGCAUGUUCUUAAAUUUCUGAAUCUUAGAUACACUGGAUCUAUCCAGAAAUUUUUACGCCUGUAAAUUCCGAUACUGUGGUGAAUUGUGAAAGCGAGUGCAGGUUUCUCGACAGGGAUUAACAAAGCAUUAAGUUAUAGAGAGAUAUACAUUCAAAGCGUUAAAUUAUAAGUUUGCGUUUAAAUUAGAUACGUACACCUAUUUGCGUGUAAUAUUUUAUUUUUGCUCGUGAAACGCUGGCGAAGUUUGAUCGUUUUUGUACACCCUGUUUUUAGAUAAACUGUUUCCUUUUCUCUGUCGCCGCGAUCCUAAUUGGAAUAACCGUCACGAGUUAAAUUGUUAUCAGUCGAUAAGCACGUGCCUGUUACUAUUUUUUUCAACAGUGUGCGUGAGACUGAUGUAACUUUAUUGAAAGCUGGCAAUCCUCGUUGUCCUAUUUCUUUAAACUCGACAAUGUUUUUGUGAUAAAGCAAUCUUAUCGCAUCCACUGUAUUCUACGCUCUGGAAGUUAUGUAACCGAGCAGCAGCUGAUAUCAAAGAGUCGAAGAUUGAAAAUCUGACGGAGCGAUAAAGCGCGCGAAUUUUUGAAGUUUGAAAGACCGUCAGUCAACACGUCGUCGUAGCAAUGUCAUUGUUGAUAUCCCCCAGGAGGCCAGCUACCUAUCGUACACACAACACCCAUCCAGGUUCGUAAUUCGUGAGCCCGGAGAAGGAGAGGGAGAGAUUGCUGGCAGUGCACGUUCGAUCUAGCCGGUCUCUAGUAGAACGCAUGCCAGUCAUUGGUCGGUUUGCUCUAUGUGGUGGGCGGAGAUAGGCGUAUGGGAGUACUAAAUCGAGCCAUGGUGUCCCUUUUUUCUAUCCCUUUCUCACCCCCUCUCUCUCGCAUCUCGCUCCCUCCCCGGGCCUACUCCCCUCCCUCUCUCUUUCAUUCACUCCUUCUCCCUCUCUUCGCCGUACUCUCUCUCCCCUCUGUUUCGAUGAUGGGCAUUCAAUUCUCCAACUUCUGCGAGAUUUUCAACAAUUUUCUACGUGUAGAAUUUACCGAAUUCACCGAUCAAUUCUCUCGAAACCACCCCUCUUAUACAUUUCUACAUCUCCACAUUUUCCCUUCGAUACAAUCAAAAAUUUCAGUACAAUUUGUAUUGUUGUAGGUGUAAUUUAGGAGUACCAGUAUCAAUUAAUGUUUGGAGAAGUUUAGUCGAGACCCCGAGUUCAGAGUUUGCAAUUGCGAACUUUAGACCACUUCAGUAAGUUAUGCUGAUAAUUGAAAUUCUCACAUUCGUCCUAAGAUCGCAGUUAUAUUCGUUUUCUUUUAGACGUAGAAUUCCCACGAUACCGUUUAAGAUAGAAUGCAACUGCAUGCAUAAGAACAGAACUUGAAAAUGGAGUAUCCUAGCAGUUCAGUUGCAUCGUUGAUCCAGUCGCUGGAUGCUUCUCGAGCUGCAACCGAAGGCUAAUACACCUUCAGGCCAUUACUGAAUUCAGUCAAAAAACUUACACAAGCAGCCUUUAAACAAAAAUGGAUACAUGUUGGAUUCUAUGCACCUUAGCUUUCAUGAAGAUGAAAAGGAGGAUCAUUAGAAGGAACUAAGACGUUUAGUAAGGAUAGAGUACCUAUUUGCUGCAAUAGUAUUGAUUUUAUAAUUUAAUGAGAAGAACAUUGAAAACAUUGAACACUGAUAAAGAAGGAAUGAAAUUGUAUCUCGAAAGAGGAUGAAGAAAAGGAAGUAGUCAUUCGAUUCGGAAUAUUUAAAAAAUAUCAUCGCAAGAAGAGAAGAGGAUCAGCAGACGCACGAGGUGCAGGAAAGAGUGCAGCUUUUCGUGUAGCGUACAGAAUUCUGGCUCGACUGCUUCUGCAUCCAGGCCCUUCGCCGCCUUUUAGACCUUAAGUUUCAUUCACACCAAACACUUGAAACUUUCUGAUCUCGCAUGUUUACGAAGGAUCUUUGUAUACUUUGAGUUUAAUUUCGUGCUUAAGGUAACACUUUUGUACAUGACGUAUAGAGACAUUAAUAACUUCGCACUAACAUUUUUUAGUUAUUUAGUUAUAAAACAAAUGAACAUUGUAAUCCCUUUUAACAUUGUAAAUCAGAAAAAUUAAAAUUAGAAUUUAAUAAAAAUUUCUUGUUUCAAUAAUAUUCCAAUCUAAGAAUCCUGUCAAGUUACAAGAAGUAGAAUCACUAUUUAAUAAAAUGUAGAAUAUUUGCUGAUUGGUUGCAUCUAUUUCAGGCGUGAAGAAACGUGCAGACAAAUAAUUGGAAGGACCAGAGGCGAUCUAAUCAUAAAGCAUAAUCGGUCAGUUGGAAAUGGUGCCUAACAUCCCUUAGGGCCGCGCAAGGAGAGCUGCAGAGGCCAUUCAACUGUCUACGAUCGAGCAGGCAGGGGACUUUUACAGCGGCCGGAGUCUACCUACUCUCUGAGCUCUCGUAUUCUUCUUGCUCUUCUUCUCUCUCCGUAUCUUCUUCUUCUUCCUCUUCUCCUUCUUCUUCGUCUUGUUUUCUUGUACAGCUUCCUUUUUCUAUGCCCUCCUGAUCUCUCUACCCGGCAAUGGCGUGGCAAGUCAGGGACCAUGCGUGAGAAAGUCGAGCCUAACAUCUUCCAAAUUAUGCUAAAUUUCUGCCCAAUAAUUGAACAGAUAAUUUAGCCGAAGAUGUUCUUAAGUCACGCGCUCAAAAUUUAUGCCCGAUACUUCGUGAUGACUUUCUUCAAACUUUUUAUUUCUACCUCUUUAUCUUACACGAACCACACUUUGUAACUCUGUACAUUGUACUGCUACAUAUUGUAAUAUUAUCACUGAUAAUACUCACGACGCUACAAUGUGUGAAAUUACAGAUGGAAAUUUGUUUGAUACACUCAUUUUGUUCACUCAUUACAUAAGUAACAUAUACAUUUAACUUGAAUAUAAUGAAGAAAGGAUUUCUUCCAUAACACCAAUUUCCAACGAAUUGCCCCUAAUUACACAGCUGUAUCUCAUAAAGUUGUCUAAUCCAUUAAGAAAACAGAUUUCAGCUCCUCUGCUUGAUUUAUUUAACUUAUGGUACUCCCUUAACUUCAUUAACGUUCAUUUCUUAGUGCUUUGACAUUGUUGGAGACAUUAGGGAGUUCUUGUAGAGAUUAAAGUCAUACGAUAAUAUUACCCUUUCACUGUAACACC